GGAUGUGAGGGCGAUCUGGCUGUGACAUCUGUCACCCCACUGAUCGCCAGGGUUGAUUCAGCUGAUCUGGCUGGCUAGGCGGUUGUCCCCUUCCUCCCUCACCGCUCCAUGUGCGUCCCUCCCGAAGCUGCACGCUCGGUGGAAGAAGACGACCAUCCCAAGUAGAAGGAGUGUAUCGUUCUUCGGUCAAGGGUAUACGAUAGCUGUGCUCCCCUGCUAGAACCUCCAAACAAGCUCAAGGUCCAUUUGUAGGAGAACGUAGGGUAGUCAAGCUAUCUCAUUUUUUUCUCUGGAUAUUAGAAAUAAGAAAUUUUUCCAUG
rnacentral:snRNA from 1 species